UACGUAGGGUCCGAGCGUUUGUCCGGAAUUACUGGGCGUAAAGAGCUCGUAGGUGGUUUGUCGCGUUGUUCGUGAAAACUCACAGCUCAACUGUGGGCGUGCGGGCGAUACGGGCAGACUAGAGUACUGCAGGGGAGACUGGAAUUCCUGGUGUAGCGGUGGAAUGCGCAGAUAUCAGGAGGAACACCGGUGGCGAAGGCGGGUCUCUGGGCCGAUACUGACGCUGGAGGAGCGAAAGCGUGGGGAGCGAACAGG
rnacentral:rRNA from 1 species